UGGGGAAUUUUGGACAAUGGGCGAAAGCCUGAUCCAGCAAUGCCGCGUGUGUGAAGAAGGCCUUCGGGUUGUAAAGCACUUUUGUCCGGUAAGAAAUGGCUCUGGUUAAUACCUGGGGUCGAUGACGGUACCGGAAGAAUAAGGACCGGCUAACUACGUGCCAGCAGCCGCGGUAAUACGUAGGGUCCAAGCGUUAAUCGGAAUUACUGGGCGUAAAGCGUGCGCAGGCGGUUGUGCAAGACCGAUGUGAAAUCCCCGAGCUUAACUUGGGAAUUGCAUUGGUGACUGGACGGCUAGAGUGUGUCAGAGGGGGGUAGAAUUCCACGUGUAGCAGUGAAAUGCGUAGAGAUGUGGAGGAAUACCGAUGGCGAAGGCAGCACCCUGGGAUAACACUGACGCGCAUGCACGAAAGCGUGGGGAGCAAACAGG
rnacentral:rRNA from 1 species